rnacentral:misc_RNA from 1 species
GGAGGAAAAGAAACUAACAAGGAUUCCCCUAGUAACUGCGAGUGAAGCGGGAAAAGCUCAAAUUUAAAAUCUGGCGGUCUUUUUUGGCUGUCCGAGUUGUAAUUUAGAGAAGCAUUACCCGCGCUGGACCGUAUACAAGUCCUCUGGAAUGGGGUGUCAUAGAGGGUGAGAAUCCCGUCUUUGAUAUGGACUACCAGUGCUUUGUGGUGUGCUCUCGAAGAGUCGAGUUGUUUGGGAAUGCAGCUCAAAAUGGGUGGUAAAUUCCAUCUAAAGCUAAAUACAGGCGAGAGACCGAUAGCGAACAAGUACCGUGAGGGAAAGAUGAAAAGAACUUUGGAAAGAGAGUUAAACAGUACGUGAAAUUGCUGAAAGGGAAACGCUUGAAGUCAGUCGCGUUGGCUGAGAAUCAGCCUUGCUCUUUUGCUUGGUGUACUUCUCAGUCGAYGGGUCAGCAUCAGUUUUGACUGCUGGAUAAAGGUCAGGGGAAUGUGGCAUCUUUGGAUGUGUUAUAGCCCUUGUUCGUAUACAGCAGUUGGGACUGAGGAACUCAGCACGCCGCAAGGCCGGGUUUUCAACCACGUACGUGCUUAGGAUGCUGGCAUAAUGGCUUUAAUCGACCCGUCU